GCAGUGACAGCUCCCAGGGCUCUGAUGUGUCUCCCCUUGUAGAGCGUGAGGCAGCUGCCUUGUGGGGACCGAGUGAUGGAGGAUGUGUUCACGCUUCCACUUCCUGACUCAAGGACCUCUGAUGGGGGUGCUGCCCCAGCCCUGCUCCCCAGGCUUUCCUGUCAGCCGAGGCAGGCUGGGCCCUCCCCAUCCCUGCCUUUACUCCCUGGGGCUUGAGCUGCAACUUCCUGCUCCGCAUUGAAAUGAGACUCUGCAUUGACCUGGUUUUUUAAUUCUUGCCAUGACUGCUGACAGGUAAUUAAAGGAGACCCUUUAAGUAUUUUCUCAGAGGAAAUAAAUGGAGGCACCAAGGAUUCUGCA